rnacentral:lncRNA from 14 species
CUCCUGUGUUUGCUCUUGUGUUCCUGAGGUAUCUUGAGCACUUGGAAAGAUGUGGCUAUUCCCACAGGGGAUGCCUUCCGCACCACCUGGCAUACUGGCUCUGCUUACCCCUGCACAGCAAAUUCAAUGAGGAUUUUUCCCCUGACAAACGGGGAGCAGGGAAGAAACCCAGGACACUGCAAAUGGGAGUGCCUGAAGGAAACCCCAGGCAGUACGGAAAGGAAGGGUUAAGAGCUGCUGACCAUCACAUCCUCUUCCCAUCCAGCCCCUCCUGCAUGGAUCUCUUCCUUGCACCAGGUCAUGCAGCAUGUCUUCCGCUGCUGUGAUGGGGGAAACUACACCCACUGCCAGGUGAUUAAAAAGAAUGUAUCUCGGAGGAUGACUUCAUGUUCCUGAAUGAGAAGAUCAGCAUGCCAGAUGCGCCUAGUGCCUGACCCCUUUAAAGGCUCUGAAAGAUCACAUGUGACUUUACAGUGUCAUUUUAUGCAUGGAGAAGAACAAAACCCUGAUAGUUUUAUGUUGC